AGUGAACGCUGGCGGUAGGCCUAACACAUGCAAGUCGAACGGCAGCACAGGAGAGCUUGCUCUCUGGGUGGCGAGUGGCGGACGGGUGAGGAAUACAUCGGAAUCUACUCUGUCGUGGGGGAUCACGUAGGGAAACUUACGCUAAUACCGCAUACGACCUACGGGGGAAAGCAGGGGACCUUCGGGCCUUGCGCGAUUGAAUGAGCCGAUGUCGGAUUAGCAAGUUGGCGGGGUAAAGGCCCACCAAGGCGACGAUCCGUAGCUGGUCUGAGAGGAUGAUCAGCCACACUGGAACUGAGACACGGUCCAGACUCCUACGGGAGGCAGCAGUGGGGAAUAUUGGACAAUGGGCGCAAGCCUGAUCCAGCCAUACCGCGUGGGUGAAGAAGGCCUUCGGGUUGUAAAGCCCUUUUGUUGGGAAAGAAAUCCAGCUGGCUAAUACCCGGUUGGGAUGACGGUACCCAAAGAAUAAGCACCGGCUAACUUCGUGCCAGCCGCCGCCGUAA
rnacentral:rRNA from 1 species